UGUGCCUUUCCUGAGAGAAUAUUCAGUGUCAGUGUGGCAAGAGCUCACUCAGGAGCCAUUUCCUUUAACAUAAUCUCAUGGUAGAAGGAAUCUGGAAACAAUGUCUGGCUCCCUUCUAGAGCCAUGAGUGAUCCCACAGGAUCACUGUCAGUGAGAGGAAGAGGCGUUUAGCUGUCCAUCUUCCUCCACUGUGGAAUGCCAGCGUGUCCUUCCCUGUGCUCUGUGCAGCCCCAGAGAAGAGCAGAGAGGGAAGGGGCCGGGCCCAGGGCUGUGCCCCAGGGCUGAGCCUUGGGUGCAGCCUGAGGAUCUACAGUGUCACAGGAGCUGUUCUGUCCUGCCUUUCUUUGCAGCUCAACUUGUUGAUGACAGCGAUCCAGUUUCUAAAACCAUGUCCAUGAAUGAGCCUCUGAGAGAUGCUGAGAGUGUGGCUGCAGGGAGGACUUUUCAGGCUCCUUUGCUGGCAACUGCAAACAAGCCCAGCUCCCAUCGCAGGGGGCCCCCAAUUAGAAAGAGCAAAGCUACAGAACACAAGAAACCCCAUGAGCCAUCCAAACACAUGUGGCAAAUGCUGAAGGAAAUCGAAGAGGCAGGACAAGGUGGGUGCAUUUCCUCAGCCUUCCCCUGGGACUCAGCAGCCGGGGCCUUGCCCUGCACAUAUAGACAGGCCCUGCCCGGCACAGCGGGAAGGGAUCCAUGGCAGCCUCGCUGCCCCGCUGCUGCUCUC